UACAAAGAGGACUUUGCUAUGCAGCAAACAGUGGGCAGGGAAAGAUGAGCUGCCAAAGCCCUGGUCCCAUUUCUCCUCAAGCUGAGCCUGCUGUUGCUGCCAUGCCUUUUUCUGUGCAGUUUUGCCUCAUGCC